rnacentral:lncRNA from 1 species
UUUUUUUUUUGUAGAUUUUAAACAUUUGAAUAGUUAAAUAAAUUUGAAUUCUUUCAAAGUAGCAUAGAAUGAAAUAAAAUUUGUUAGUGUUAAGAAAUAUAGCUCAAAAUAAUAAUAUAGUAUAAGGAAAAACAAGCUAAGAGAUAUAGAGAGAAAAGAUAUAUAGAGAUUCUUAUUUUUUUUUCAACUGUGUGUCAUUUUCUAUCUAUUACAAGACCUUUAUAUAAGCAUGAAAAAUAAAGAAAUAUAUCAUUGAAUAUGUCAUUAAGCAUUUGAGAUCAUAGAGGAAGAUCAUGAGGAGGUUAUGGAGUUACAAUCAUAACUCCGUAAGUAUUAUAGUAGUGAAAGUUAUGGAGAUAAUGAAGAAGUAUAGUGAGCAUUACUCCUUUGAUGGUUAAAGACAUCCACCAUAAUUUAAGAUUUUAUAAUAGUUAGCACUUUUUGGAAGUUCAGUAUAUUUUGGAAAAUAAGUCGCCUAUACAACCGACGAUCUCUCUGUCUUUUUCUUAGCUAAUUUACAUGGAUGUACAAUAUAUGUGUAAUCCAUGUAAUAUAGACUUCUAUAAGCUCAAUUAUAACGCAUUAUAACCAAAAUUCUUGAAUUUCUUUGAAAGGACUAUCCGAGUUAUAUAUGGGGGAAAGUUUGGGCCUAAUUAGAAUUUUUAGUAAGUUAGUGGGCACUCUUAGUAAGUUAUUUUCUUAAAACUGUGGUCGCCUAUAGAACCGACGAUUUAAAACAAUAUAAAUAAAGGACAUCGUCUAUCAAGUGUGACCUAUUUGCAUUUUCUACCCUCAGCUUUUUCAUAAAACCCAAAACCCAACCCAACAGCCCAACUUCUUAAAACCCUCGCUUCUCUUUCGGACAUUUAGCAGAAAACUAUGUUUUAAAAGGCGAAAGAGCGUGAGUUGAGACAUUUUACUUAAUGUGGGGUAAGACGUAAGCCCUGAAACGAUCUUUAAAUUUUUUUAUUUAUAAAUUAAUAAAAUAGUAAAAUAAUCACAAAAAAUAUAUAUAAUACAUUAAAAUUUAAGAAAAUUAUAAGGGAUUAUAAAACUCAUAAAAAUAAAAUAUCUAGCAUUUUUUAUUAACAUAAAUAAUGAAAUAGUGUUAAAGUUACUAUGAGAUAAAAAUCAACUAAAACGUCUUAUCUUUCGAACAAUUUAAAAAACAUACGUAAUAUGUUUAAAAAUAUUAUCAAACUACAAAGUUUACCUCUCUAAAAGUUAAUAAUCAUUAACUUCAUCAAAAUUGUAAUUUAAAGUAUUACUCCUUAUAAAUAAAUAUAAAAUUUCUUUCAAUUAGCGAAAUAAUUAAAGUAUGAUAAUUUUGAGAGAGAUAGACUAAGAUAUGAAGACCUAUAGCAAGUGAUCAUGUAAAUUUUGACUCUUCAAGUGAUACUCACCCCAACGGUAUUCUUAAUCAGUAAAUAUGUAAUACUAUGACUCAUUAUUUAGAGUUACUCUUGAUCUUCAAUUUUUAUAGAUAAAUAAAACUUUAAUAAUUCAUUUGUUAAAGAAUUUUGAGGGUCAACAAUGCUAAUUAGGUAAUUAGACACAUAAUUUGCGUUAGGAAUUGUUAGGCGAGCCCUGAGCAUUGAGCGUUAGGCAUAUUUCGAGUGCACAGUCGAGCGCUUGGGGCGUAAGCCUCACAAAACCAAACCCCACACGUGAGCCUUAGGGCGUUUUGAUAAUGUCGCUCCCCGGAGAGAGCCCCGAAGCGAGUGCCAAGAAAGUCUUUUAAAAUACUGGCAAAAAAUACAUACACACACUCCAAUUUAACUCUUGAUUGCAAUAAAAGAUUUCUCUUCCUAGUUGCCCCUUAAUUUUACCAUGUGGAAAUAGUCUUGUGCAAAAUAUAAGGUACAAUUGCAUACAUAAAAUUUAAUAUGGUCCGAUCCUUUUUCAGACCUCAUGUAUAACGAGAGCUGCCUAUUGUUUGCUUGAGCUGCUCGAACUUGAUGGGCUAAUAACUUGUAGAGAUAGUUCAUGACAUAUUCAUAUCUAUAAAUGCAUGUUAUUAAGAUGAACAAAAUGAAAAGAUUAAAGUUAAAAAAAACUUCAAGAACGUUAUCAUUCUUUUAGAACGUACAAAAAAAAGUAUAGAAAAUUAAUGGAGUUUAUUAUUAAUAUUAAUGAGGGAGGAUGCAGAGGCGGCCACACAUGAUGAGUAGUGGGGUCACCGGCACCCAAAAACUUCAGCAAAAACUCCAUAUAUACUAGCAAAUAUUUUUAAAAAAUAGUUAGAUAUUAGUAUACGUCCCGUACUAAUCUUUAUGAGCAUUGAUAAACUUAUAUUGAAUGUCAUGAUGCCCGCACUACCGCUGAAUCCUAGGUCCGCUUCUGGGAGGAUGUAUAGUCGUUGAUUUCUUAGAUAUUAAAAAUUGAGUAAAAUUGUAGUGAAGUGAGUAAAGAAUUAAUUUCACUUUUGUGCAAUUUUAUGUAAUUCUAUCUAUUUUAAGUUGCUUCAAAAAAAGGAAAAAAUAAAAAAAUAAAAAGGUUGCUUAAUGAAAUAAAAAUAAAAAAUGAAGAAAAGUGAAAAAGGCCCGUUUAUAACCAUGAUUUACUAUUUUACCCUUUUCAAUCAAGUAUAUGUUCUCGGUUCGAGUCUGGCGCAAAGACUGAAUUCUAGCGUACUUUGGAAAGGGACAAAAUUGUCCAACUCUAUUUAAUACAAUAUACUCCAUAUAAAUAAAAUACUGAUCGAUUAGUGUUGUGAAUACUGAAUGAGACCCCUCCCUCAAAACUUUGGGUUUACUGUAAAAAUUUCAAAUCGGAAAAUUUCGCCGGAAAAAUGUCGGGGAAAGGAGCAAAGGGAUUGAUAACAGGGAAAACAUCGGCAAAUAAAGACAAAGAUAAGAAGAAACCCACCUCUCGUUCUUCUCGUGCCGGUCUUCAGGUUCCCGCCCUCUUUUCCUCUUUUACUUUCUAUUUUUGUCCAAUAAAUUAUCUGGGAUUUUGUUUAAUUCUUAUGCAACCUAUGUUUUGCUUAGAUUUUUGGGUUAUUGUUGUAAAUUAGGGAUUUUUAUGAGACAUGUCUUAGAAUUGUGUUUUGAUAAUCGUGGUAUCCGGCCAGCUAGACUAAUUCCACGGGUUACGUGCUACCUCCUACCAGCAGAGGAUUUAUAGUCCCACGAGCCUGGUACCCUGGCUCGUGGCGUGAGCGAAACCGCGAGGCUCCCAUGCUUGCCCUUUCGCCACACUAGGGCCUUAGUGAGGGAGGGCGUUGUGUGCCGGGCCUUUCUUGCGCAAGGGCUGCUAUUUGCUAUCGAUCGAUAGCUAUCAUCUCCAAGAUAUCACUCACCAUUAGGGGUUGGACGUUCAGUACUUCGGUUCGGUAUUUAAGAACUUUGAUUCGGUACUUUGGUAUUCGGUUUUUCAAUUGUAUAUACCAAAUACCGUACCAAAGGUAGUUCGGUAUUUCUUGUUCUGUUUGGUCAUGUGUAUGUAAUAACUUAAAUAUAGCUGCCAAAUAAAUUGAGAACUAAUGUACUUUUGGAAAAGAAUAGUACCAUCUUUUAAGUAGGCAAGUGACAACAAAUUUCUAUCCACAUUUUGCUUACCAUACAAUGCGUGAAAUGUAACUAGAAUCUUGCCAUAAUUUUUGACAAGAUAAUCAUAACUUUAAGGAACAAAUAUAGCUAACUGAACUGUAGCCAAAUUUGAAAAAUAUUGAAAUAGCAUAUCAAAUAUUCAAAUGGGCAGUAGCAAAGUAGCAUCAUAUCAACACUCUACAGCAGUAGCUGUAAUGGUAUACUAACUCAGACAUUUUGAGCCCAUUUUUCCUCCAUUUUCGGGCGAUUUCAGAGCUUUUGAGAAGGGAGUUCAACUAACAACUUGAAGGUAAGUUAAUUCUACACCCCUUGAGUUAAAUACAUAGAUUAUAAGUAGAUUAUAACUAGUAAAUCUUAGAAAUCAAAAGUUUAGGUGAAAAACCUUGAUUUUUAUAAAAAUGAGAUUUUAACCACGAAAAUAGUUAUGGAAUUAGGUAGAAAUUAUAUAUUUGAGUUCUUCAGAUUAUGGGUAACGUUCCAUCCGGAAAUUUCCAGAAUCCGGGCACGUGGGCCCGGGGUGAAUUUUAGGAAUUUUAUCAUUUUGGAUAGGGUAAUUUAUUUAAUAGAUGAAUUUCGAAUUAUUGAACAUAUAUUAAUCAUUUUAUAUAACUUUUGGAUAGUUUCGGAUUUUUCGGCAUUGAAUCGAGAAUUUUACGCGACGCGAUAAUCGGAAAGUGGGCUUUGAGACGAGGUAAGUCUCUUGUCUAAUCUUGUGAGGGGGAAUUACCCCAUAGGGAUUAAAUUGAAUAAUUAUUGAUAGCUGAAUAAUUUUGUUAUUCUGGUUUCUCUACGCAAUGCACGACUUGUGUCAAUACUAAGGUCUGUCAGGUAGUGGUUUUAUUCCAGGAAUUCUGUUACUCUUCUUUGACUCUUGACUUGGAUCGUGCAAACUUGCAAACUGCCAUGUGUAGUAAUGUCUUUAAAUUUUUUUCAUCAGCAUCUAAUAUUAUUAGCAGGAUUAUGUGACCUUAAAUUCUGCAAAUACCUUUAUCCUUGGCAGUGCUGGGAUCAAAUGACUAUCUUUCGUUAUGGUUUCUAAACUGUUUGGCUUGUGCCUUUUCAGUUUCCAGUUGGGCGUAUUCACCGAUUGCUGAAAGAGAGGACCACGGCAAAUGGGAGAGUGGGAGCCACAGCAGCUGUCUACUCUGCUGCUAUCAUGGAGUAUCUGACCGCUGAGGUAUUGGAGUUGGCUGGAAAUGCGAGCAAGGAUUUGAAAGUGAAACGUAUCACUCCAAGACAUUUGCAGCUGGCAAUUCGAGGUGAUGAGGAACUUGAUACUCUGAUCAAAGGAACUAUAGCUGGAGGAGGUGUAAUACCGCACAUUCACAAGUCGCUCAUCAACAAAUCUUCGAAGGAGUAAUUAAGCCUGUCUCUUACAAGUUGUCUCCUUCCUUUUUGGAGAAAUAUUCGUUUCUGGAAACUUUAGCCAUUUGCUUUUGGUGUCUGCAAAUGCAUAGGCAGAGAAUUUCUGUACCAACUACUUUUGCAUAUUCUAUCUAGAUUCUCCUUAGGUUUACCAGACAUGGUUCUUUGCUGAUAUUAGUAAUGUCGCAAGUGAUUGUCUUAUUUCCUCUAUUAUCUCUCAAGCCCUUUACUUAACACAUCCAUCAAUGAAUGUGAAUUGUGAAUGCUGUCAUGGUGAUUGGUGGGGAUUAGAUAGAUCCUCUGUAGUGUCUGAACUCAGUGUUACUAAAAGCCAUCGCUUCAUCGCUUAAAACAUGACGUGAUGCGAAGCAAGAGGCUAUUGCUUCAUGGGUGAAGCCAUGCACUUAAGAGAAACGUGCGCUUGCGCAUAGUGAUCCAACGAGAAGUUGUCGGGUUUGUUUGCAUCUCAACUUUGAGUUGGACUAGUAUCUGCAUCAUUAUACAUUGGAUGCUGAAAUUUAAGUUUCUAAAUGCAAUUUGAUUAGUAUGUUUAAAAUUUUUGUACAUCGUGUAUUUCACUUCAUAGAAGCGUGCACUUCUCAAGCCUCGUGGACCUUGUCUCUUAUUAUGCAUUUUUUGCUUUUAAAAGGCACAACUUGGUGUUUGUUUUUCCAGUUUAUACGAGAUAGAAUUGUAGAGCAGGAGAGCUGGCAACUUCAAAAUUUGAAAAGGUAACAAUAAACCUAGCUGUAGAAAAGAAGUUGAAGAGGACCAUCCCAUUUUCAAGUUGUAGUUUGAAAAGAAAUUGUUGUGUGGGAAAUUGCAGAACUGGUCAAUGGUGAAGAUCUAUGUCCUUUUUAGGCGAAUACGGAAGUCUAGAGACUUUUAAUUGAACUUUUAGGAUUUUUUGCCGUAGUGGAUAGAAUUAUCAGAUAUAUGUGCUGAUCCGAGAAAGCAAGUACCGGUGGAACAGUUGAAGUGCGUGUAAGUUGGCCUAGCUUGCAUCAACUUGUACUGUUCAUACUGUGGUAGAGUUGUCAAAGAUUUUGCAGCAAUAUUAGAAAGUGAAUCAACAUUAUCCUUAAAUGAAUCUAUCAAGAUUACAAGUUUUAAUAAAAAUUCACAAUCUGAAUAAGCUUCCAAUAAUAGUUGAUUGAAUUCUAGUACAAUUAUUAACAUCCAAAAGACAACAAAAUUCCUGUAUAGACAACUAACAAAAUGCCCUUGCUUGUAGUUUACUUCUAGAUUCACCACUACUGAUAAAGACCCUUGGAGUAAGAUGCAAAAAAAUUUACAAUGCCAUUCCUAUGGCAAAGCUAACAAACUUUCCCCAGAAAAUCAAAAGAAACAACUGCCAACAGAGGCUAAUUCAGCAUAUACGCGCGCAGUGUGUGCACGUGCACCCACUGAGUCGAACUUAGACUAUAUAUAUAUAUAUGUGUGUGUGUAUAGAAAAUUUUAGAGAAAUAUUUAAAAAAUAUCUAGGUGUAUCAACUACCUUUAAAUUCUGGAUCUGCCUCUGCUUGCUGAUCGACAUUUGGUAUUCAAAAGUUUGCUACCUUUGGAACAUCCACAGGAAACUUUUCUAUCUCAUCAAUCCAAGGGUUGAUCACUUCCUUUGCUGGUUUUAUAGUUCUCAAUGCCUUCCAAACAGCACUGUUACACUUAAAUCCUGAACCAAAACCUAUCUGCCACACUCUUUCACCUCUCCUUACUCUUCCCUUAGCUUCUGUAUAAGCCAACUCGUACCAAAGAGAGCUGCUCGACGUGUUGCCAAAACGAUACAAUGUCAUUCUUGAUGGUUCUAAGUGCCAUUCACUAAGAUGCAAAUUCUUCUCUAUUUCAUCUAACACAGCUCUUCCACCAGCAUGAAUGCAGAAAUGCUCGAACGCUAGUUUGAAAUCAGGAAUAUAAGGCUUGAGUUUAAUUUUAAAAAGCUUCCUUCCAACUAGUGUAGCAAAGAAAAGCAAUUGUUCUGAUAUUGGUAAUACAAGGGGUCCAAGGGUAGUAAUAUUAGUUUUCAAUGCAUCUCCAGCCACUGCCAUUAGCUCUUUCGAU